UAGGUAGGUGGUCUCGUUUGUCUGGGGUGAAAGCCUUGAGCUUAACUCAAGAAGUGCCUCGGAAACGGCGAGACUAGAGUCUUGGAGAGGGUCGUGGAAUUCCCGGUGUAGCGGUGAAAUGCGUAGAGAUCGGGAGGAACACCAGCGGCGAAGGCGGCGACCUGGACAAGUACUGACACUCAACUACGAAAGCGUGGGGAGCAAACA
rnacentral:rRNA from 1 species